rnacentral:rRNA from 1 species
UAGGGAAUCUUCCGCAAUGGACGAAAGUCUGACGGAGCAACGCCGCGUGAGUGAAGAAGGAUUUCGGUUCGUAAAACUCUGUUGUUAGGGAAGAAAAAAUGUAUAGUAACUAUAUACAAAAGAGACGGUACCUAACCAGAAAGCCACGGCUAACUACGUGCCAGCAGCCGCGGUAAUACGUAGGUGGCAAGCGUUGUCCGGAAUUAUUGGGCGUAAAGCGCGCGCAGGUGGUUUAGAAAGUCUGAUGUGAAAGCCCACGGCUCAACCGUGGAGGGUAAAUGGAAACUAAAAAACAAGAGUGCAGGAGAGAAAAGUGGAAUUCCUAGUGUAGCGGUGAAAUGCGUAGAGAUUAGGAGGAAAACCGGUGGCGAAAGCGGAUUUAUGGCCUGAAACUGACAAUGAGGAGCGAAAGCGUGGGGAGCAAACAGG